UGCUUGUAAUUUAAUUAAUAAGCAAAUACUUACAAGUUUAUAAGGCCGAUGAAGCUACUUUCCUUUCUUCGUAUGCUGUGUAAUAAUUUCUUAUAACAAUCGAUGCUUCGCCUUUCGACCGAAACUGCUAUUUUUGUCAGGUGGAAGCAAAUCUGACUCCACAAUUUUUCUCUCUCACGUGAUUUCAGGCUCUGACAACUCUGCCAUUGUGAUUCAGGAUGUCACAAUCACUGACGCCAAACUCGGAAAGACUGUGCAAUUCGACGUCAAAGCUCAAGUAAAGCAGACCUAUGGCGUCAAUCCCGUGGUGAAAACCUCUUUCGCGAGGCCUCAAGGGCAGGCCGUGGAAUGCGUUCACCUGAUUAUCCCAGAAGAAAUGAAGCUUUGCGGUGGCGACUCCUCGUUCGAGAAAGAGUUGACGGCAGGCUGGAACAACACAUGUCCUAUUGAAAAAGGCAAAUAUUCUGCACACCUGUCCGUCUAUCUUCCUGACGUCCCUUUAGCCAAGGAAUGCGUUGGGGAUGGCAAAUUUAUCGUCACCCUCAAGAUUGUAGACCAAGGAAAGACUUCGGAUUGCGUGUCAUUCCCGGCUUACAUUCAUGAUGACUGAGGAAGCUGUCAGCCUUUAGAAAAUGUGCUUCGACUUCAACGUGUCUAACCGGAGAAUACGAAUACAAAUGACAAAAAUGUUUAACCCUUCAAUAAGAUGUUGAUACGUUCAGAAUAAUGCAGACUUAGAUUUAUAGCAGUGCACUCUUAGUGACCACAAUAAAA